UCGAACGCGAAAGCGGGGCAACCCGCAAGUAGAGUGGCGAACGGGUGAGUAAUACAUCGGAACAUUUCCAGUAGCGGGGGAUAACCUGUCGAAAGAUAGGCUAAUACCGCAUACGCCCCACGGGGGAAAGCGGAGGACCGCAAGGCUUCGCACUAUUGGAGUGGCCGAUGUCGGAUUAGCUAGUUGGCGGGGUAAAAGCCCACCAAGGCUACGAUCCGUAGCUGGUCUGAGAGGACGAUCAGCCACACUGGAACUGAGACACGGUCCAGACUCCUACGGGAGGCAGCAGUGGGGAAUUUUGGACAAUGGGCGCAAGCCUGAUCCAGCCAUGCCGCGUGAGUGAAGAAGGCCUUCGGGUUGUAAAGCUCUUUCGGUGGGGGCGAAACGGUUCGUGCUAAUACCACGGACUAAUGACGGUACCCGAAGAAGAAGCACCGGCUAACUACGUGCCAGCAGCCGCGGUAAUACGUAGGGUGCAGGCGUUAAUCGGAAUUACUGGGCGUAAAGCGUGCGCAGGCGGUUUGCUAAGACAGGUGUGAAAUCCCCGGGCUUAACCUGGGAACUGCGCUUGUAACUGGCAAGCUAGAGUGUGGCAGAGGGGGGUGGAAUUCCAAGUGUAGCAGUGAAAUGCGUAGAUAUUUGGAGGAACACCAAUGGCGAAGGCAGCCCCCUGGGUUAACACUGACGCUCAUGCACGAAA
rnacentral:rRNA from 1 species